CCUACACGACCGUACCGCAAACCGACACUGGUGCGCGAGAUGAGUAUUCUAAGGCGCUUGAGAGAACUCAGGAGAAGGAACUCGGCAAAUUGACACCGUAACUUCGGAAGAAGGUGUGCCUUUAGUAGGUGAACCAUCUACUUGGGGAGCCCAAUGAGGCUGCAAAAAAUCGGUGGCUGCAACUGUUUAUUAAAAACACAGCACUCUGCUAAGACGAAAGUCGACGUAUAGGGUGUGACGCCUGCCCGGUGCUGGAAGAUUAAAUGAUGGGGUGCAAGCUCUUGAUUGAAGUCCCAGUAAACGGCGGCCGUAACGAUAACGGUCCUAAGGUAGCGAAAUUCCUUGUCGGGUAAGUUCCGACCUGCACGAAUGGCGUAAUGAUGGCCACACUGUCUCCUCCUGAGACUCAGCGAAGUUGAAAUGUUUGUGAUGAUGCAAUCUCCCCGCGGAAAGACGGAAAGACCCCAUGAACCUUUACUGUAGCUUUGUAUUGGACUUUGAACAGAUCUGUGUAGGAUAGGUGGGAGGCUUUGAAGUGUGGUCGCUAGAUCGCAUGGAGCCAACGUUGAAAUACCACCCUGGUGUGUUUGAGGUUCUAACCUAGGUCCAUUAUCUGGAUCGGGGACAGUGCAUGGUAGGCAGUUUGACUGGGGCGGUCUCCUCCCAAAGUGUAACGGAGGAGUUCGAAGGUACGCUAGGUACGGUCGGACAUCGUGCUAAUAGUGCAAUGGCAUAAGCGUGCUUAACUGCGAGACUGACAAGUCGAGCAGAUGCGAAAGCAGGACAUAGUGAUCCGGUGGUUCUGUAUGGAAGGGCCAUCGCUCAACGGAUAAAAGGUACUCUGGGGAUAACAGGCUGAUACCGCCCAAGAGUUCAUAUCGACGGCGGUGUUUGGCACCUCGAUGUCGGCUCAUCUCAUCCUGGGGCUGUAGCCGGUCCCAAGGGUAUGGCUGUUCGCCAUUUAAAGAGGUACGUGAGCUGGGUUUAAAACGUCGUGAGACAGUUUGGUCCCUAUCUUCCGUGGGCGCUGCAGAUUUGAGGAAGCCUGCUCCUAGUACGAGAGGACCGGAGUGGACGAACCUCUGGUGUAUCGGUUGUCACGCCAGUGGCAUUGCCGAGUAGCUAAGUUCGGAAGAGAUAACCGCUGAAAGCAUCUAAGCGGGAAACUCGUUUCAAGAUUAGAUCUGCCGGGGCCUUGAGCCCCCUAAAGAGUCGUUCAAGACCAGGACGUUGAUAGGUCAGGUGUGGAAGCGAAAAAAAAAAAAGAAAAAAG
rnacentral:rRNA from 1 species